rnacentral:tRNA from 1 species
GACGGUCAUCGGGCCCUGGAGGGCUCCCUCGGCUGCAAACCGAGUGUCUGAAGACCCGGUCUUCAGAGUUGGGUUCGAUUCCCAAGGACCGUCUCCA